rnacentral:tRNA from 1 species
GGGCCCAUACCCCGAAAAUGUUGGUUUAAACCCCUCCUUUACUA